AGAGGUACGCACCCGGGCGUGGAGCACAGCGAGACUCCCCCGGGGAAAGGGACGAGCUCUGGGGAGGGAACACCGAAGGCAUCCCUGCAACCCCGCGGGCCCCCCACCUCCCCCCCCCCGCUUUCUACCCCCACCUUCAGGGAUCCCUCUGGGCAGCUCUGGAAGGACGUGCAAGGGAAAGCGCUAAUGGAGAGCGAGCGCUGCACGUUGGCCGAGGUCUCUCCCACUUUUAUUCCCACGGAUGAGGAUGUAACAUUUAAUUUAGGUUAUAUAUGCCCGUCCGUUCCCUUGUUCCCCCUUCAGGCGCCAAAACGAGUCUGUAAAGGGCAACGAUGGUUUAACUUUAAAGCAAUCUGCUUUUUAUUCCAACAUAUCUAAUGAUUGUAUGUGACUGAGCAACUCGAAAUAGCUGACGAGGUAAUCCCUGCAUGCUAAGGAGUCUUUGCAGAAAUUGUUGGGGUGUAUUUGAACCUCGGGUGCUUCCCGCAGCUUUUGCGAGACAAGAAGAGCUCUGAAUGGCAAGAAAAUGGGAGGUUAACGGUGGGGGUAGGAGGAUGUGUUUAUUAAUUUAUUUUUUGAAUGAGGACUAGAUCCCUCCCCAAUAAGAGAAGAAGACAGUCCGGCCACAGGAAGGCGGCUGCCCCCGGUGUUCAUUCCCAGCCCUGGCGCGGCUGGUCCCCCAUCAGGGUACAGGCAGCCAUGACCCGCCUGGACGCUAUAGCCGGCUCCACUGGCGAGGAAAACCAUAUCCUGUGUCCCCUUCUGCCCUCUCUCCUCACUGCACACCCCUGGCACAGACGAACAGGAGGCAUCUCCACCGGAGAAAGGGGCAGGGAAGAGUGGCCCAGCAGGAGCUGGAAGGCAGAAAUGCAAGCUUAGAGGAGAAAGUGCGUAUGAGAGAGGUAAAGGGGAAGAGAAAGAGGAGGAAGGCUCCGAGCUCCACCUCCCCGCUCGGCGCGGCGCUCCAGCUGCUCUCAAACCAACUGCUCAAUUCUAUUCACUGCCGCGACGGAACAAAAAAGUGGCUAUUUAUUAGAAUACUUGUUUGGUAUUGUUCGGUGCCACACAAAAGGCAUUUCAUUAUGUUGGGGUGGGGAGAAAAGCCCCUCUCUUUUUUUUUCCCGUUUCUUUUUUUUCCCUUUUCUCUCCAGACCGAAACAAUAACUUGAAAUUGUCUUUAAAAUCUUUUCUAUCAAUAAUAAAUUUCAUUUUCUUCUCUCUCUCCCACUCUCCCUCUCUCCCCCUCUCCAGUGCAGUGUGUGUGUGUGUGUUGCGCGUGUGUGUGUGAGGGGGAGAGAGAGAGAGCGAGUGAGCGAGAGAGCGCGAAUGGUGAGUGUGCGUGUGUCGCCGGGCACUCGUGGCUCGGGCACAGCCGCCUGGGAGCUGCGGCUGGGCGAGGGGCGAGGAGGCGACCGCCGGCUCCAUGUCGCGCUGCCCUGCACCUGCGGGCACGGUCGGAUGAAGGUGUGAGCUAGGCUAGAGCGGGGGGGGAGGGAAGUAAUAAUAAUAAGGCUGCCCCUUCAGAUGAUAUGUUGGGAGGAGGCUGGAGCUGGAAGAGCAACUGUGACACUUGUGAUCACCAUGUGGUGAGCAGAGGAAACUCCCCUCUCUUCCACCCUCAUGUCAGGAGCCUGUGCUCAUGGAGCAAAGAUGUGUAAUCACAGAAAAACUGCCCAUGAUUUUCAAGACUUCUGCUGUUUCACCAUUUGGAGCUGCUACACCUAGCAGAGAACCUGCCUCCCAGUGCAGUUUCUGAGCGUGUUUUGUUCUGAAGAUUUCAAGUUCUUCUCAUGUGACUUUUUUUUUUUUAACCCCAAAAAUGCACUGUGGUAAAGUGCCUGGAUGCAAAUAAAUUGGUCACCAAGAUAAGGAGUAGGUAAAUAUCUUCUCUUAAAUGACUCAGUUAAAAAGAUUUUUAUCAUA